GGUUCCUACCUAGUCUCUGCUGGCUAAACGGUUUCCUCAGUGGGAUGCAUGAGGAUGCACAUGAAAACGAUGAAGCAUGAUCCCACACUACCUCAGUAAUGUUCAGGUCCGGGCUCUGGGGAGGUUGAUCCAUGACCGACAGGGCUCCACUCUGUGCUUUUCUAUCCAGGUAUGUAUUUACUGCACUGGCAGUGUGUUUGAGAUCAUUUUGGCAUUAUCACCAUGGUGAAAAAUCCGAGCAGUUAAUUUUAAUUACUUAAUAAACUGCUACCAAGCUUAAUAAUAACACUGUACAACACAUUUGUAGAAUAAUAUUUUAUGUAUUUUUAUGUAGUGGAUACAGAAUACAUUAUGUUGUUUCAAUAUAUCAAGUAGUAUGACAUGCAACUACAUGUGUUCUAAUUGUGGUUUAAUAUUGUUCGUGAUUAAAGGUUAUUUGCAUUUACAGUUUUUUAAUGUAAAAAACAACAACAAGACAUUACACAGUGACAAACAAAGCAUUUUAACGUCCAUAUUAAGAACAAUAAAAACGCAAAUACAGUUAUUAACAUACAAUAAACACAUAUGGUUAUGGUUAUAUAACACAUGUGGUUGUCUUUUAUAUACAUUAUAAUGCGCUGUGUGAAAUGUGCACAGCGCACAAAAAAAUACAAGAACACAUUUAAGAUGCAUAAUGUAAAAAAAAUAUAUAUAUUGUUUUGCUUUUGCUGCAUCCUUAGCUGGUUAAUAAAACAGUUCCACCUAUUCAGUACAUCUUAAAUCAUAAUUUAUUUUCACAGUCAUUAUUUUUAAAAAUUUAUUUAUUUUUUAUUAAAGAAUAAAAACACCCCAAAAGAAGCCGUUUUCUUUCUUCAAAAUACAAAUCUGAGCAUCCGGCGGAUGCUAUUUUUAAUCUUAAAUAUUCAAAUCUUCCUCUGAAGAUGUGUCCUGUAACAGGUCUUUGCAUGUACCUAUACUGAGCAUCCAUUUAAUAAAAUUAGAUAUAAUGAAGCACUGUUUAUAAAGUAUGCCGUUCCUCUUCUACCGACUUUUUUAAUUUAAACUUGUUUCCAAAUGUUGGAAUACAACAUGUAAAUAAAAUUAGAAUGAGGCCAUUUGCAAAGAGUUUAAAACCUCAAAACUUGAAAUAGUUCAAAAACAAAACACAUGAAAUGUUGAUAUCAGUAACAUUAAUUGCUUUUUGAAAAUGUUUAUGUUGUUUCAAAACAGCUGGAGGGAAAGGAGGCAUUACCUCUUCUAUUAAAAGAAGUUUAAUAGAAGUUUUUGUCAGCUCUAUACAGCAGCUCCUAACAAACAAACAAAGCCAUUAAAGAAGAAGACUUUAAAAACACAGGUCAAGUAUUUAAUGUUGUUUUAUGAAAGAAAAUGCAUUCAACAACACGACAUACACAUUUUGAAUUUUUGCUUCAUAAAGAAUUUUAGUUGCUCAACAGUUAAGAAUUUAAAUGGGUCUAGUUUACAUUUCAUCAUCACAAAAAGAAGACAGAAGUAAAUGUUUCAAGAAACAAAGAAAAUGAAACAGAUUUAUCUAAAUGAACAUUACAAGGGACAGCAAACAGAAAUAAACACAAAAAGCAAAUACAAGAGAAAUAUCAACUGGUCACAUUUUACAUAUUAAUUCAUGCCUACUUUUAUUUUAGCACUCUUUGUUUUAAAGGCAAAUUAAUUUGUUUGUUUUAGUCUUUUAUUUAUUUUUUGUUGGGAGCUCCGGUCCUCCACAGUAAUAAUCAUACUCUUUGACAUUACACAUACAUGACUGAUUACCCAGUUGCUAACAAAUACACUCAGCCAGCUGGAGGAACCUUUACACCCAGAAUUACACUGCUUUUGCCAUUUAAAGUACAAUGCUCAUGAAAAAUCUUGAAAAUGAAAUUUUAAAAAAAAAACACGUCAUCAAAACUUUAUAAACUAAAUUUUAACAACAUUGAAAUACACCACUGAAUGAAUCCGAUAUCCAGUUCUGCUCACUAAACUAUGUCGUUCAGAGUUUAAAACUGUUCCCAGGUGAACCUGAUGCCCAAAAUAAGCGCUGGUUCAGCAGAUACAUCCAACAUACUGGUACUGGUAAAGCUUUACCUAAGGUGCUGCUGAUUUAUAUCAAAUAUUGCAUUUUUAUUAAACUUUAUUAAAUAUCCCACUCACUGUGUUCGGUUUAGCCCAAAACAGCUGCUGCCUUCUGCAGAAAUCAAACCUGAGGGUUUUCUGCCAGAAAGGCUUUCUAAUAUGUUGAGUUUGUGUUUUAAUUUUCUUUCUGAAAAUGUGUCUUCGGUGGUUGACAACGCAGGUAAGCACGAGUGCUGCCGAUAAAUUUAAUGCUUCAGUCACACAGGUGUAGAGACCUGUGGGCAGCCCCAAAUACUCAUGACCUCCAGCAACCACUAAAUCAAGUGAAGUUCAUAUUUUCAUUUGCUAGGUGGUUGGCAACUGGUUGUGCAACUGAAUCAUCUCAGAUCGGUUGCUGGUUGUGGACCUCCCCUACCAAUUGGCAGGUAACUACUCUUGAGUGGUCAGCACCUGGUGGGAGAUCAACCCAGACUGGGUAUAUGUAGCAGGAUCCUCAGAGCAACUCCAGUCCUACUCACCUUGCCGGACAAUUCAGAUCUCAUUAUGUCUCUUUACUCUCCAUCCUUAGUGUAGUGAUGGCUAUCCUCAGGCAUUGGUAACAUGCUGAAUUCAGUAGUUCAAUAAGAGAACUUGAUGGCAGAAUUGGAGAGGGUUGUCUUUGUUUAAUCCCUGAGAAUUAAGUCUGCCAUGUAUCACAAGCUUCUGCAGAUCCUCUGCCUGACAAAGACAUCUUCUAAUUGCAGCCGUCCUUUUAACUUGGCUUGAAAAUGGCAUCGACUGCCCAGUACCUGGUGACUACCAGCAGCUAUCGCAUUCUAGUCUUCUGUUUGUGGUUAGUAUAGCACCAUUUCUGGUGUUGUUCAUGAGGUCUGUGGUGCCAUCAUCUCCACACCCUGAAGAUGAUGUCACAUCUAUGCCAGGCAUCUUUGACAGUUGACAGGAGGUGAGUAAGAAGUUUGGCACUUGAUGGAGUGCAGAGUACUGACAGUCGACACUUGACAGUUCACCAGAGAAUCCUUAGCUACCAACUUUCGUCAAGUAUAAAUAUAACAAACAAAAAAGAGAUACUUGGCCACAGCUUCUGUUGUCUCUCCACAGAACUUCAACAAAUGCCAGAUGCCAUCAGUUUGAUUGUGUCCGCAUGUGUCUAACUGUUGUGUUCAGCCCUGGAUCAUGAGGAAAAUGCCAAACACAUUAUCCCCAAAGCCUGGAGAGACGAGGCAGUCAUGCAAGAUAUUCGUAGCAGGAAGUCAUGAUGACAAAAGGCAGCGCGUCUACCUUAAGCAUGACUAUAACACUGCUGGAGCUCUAACCCGGUAGGCUAACUUGUGGCUGUGGAGAGAUUUGAAUGAAUAAGGCAAUUAUUUUUUAGCUUUUUUGGUAUCCCUAUAUCCCAGUGUAAUAAAUACAAAAUAAAAGAUAGUUCACUCACAUGAAAAGAAAUUGAAAUUUUAAUUUCAAAUUUAGAAUAUAAGAAUUUAAAGGUCACAAUGGUCCAUGUAUAAAGUACAAUAUAAUGAGAAACAUCUGCUUUUUCUAUUAUUCAAGUUUAUACAUAACACCGACAAGAAACUGAGACUGUCCGCUUUCAAAGUAAAAGUUGCGCCAAUUAAAAUGUCUUGCAGCUGUAAGGCACAAGUUUUACUACUGUGAUACAAGGAAUCAAGAAGUAAGUACCAGUGAAACAUGAUUGUUUAUUAACAUAAACACUCAACUAUGAUCA